rnacentral:rRNA from 1 species
UGGGGAAUUGUUCGCAAUGGGCGCAAGCCUGACGACGCAACGCCGCGUGGAGGAUGAAGGUCUUCGGAUUGUAAACUCCUGUUGAUCGGGACGAAAAGCUUCAACCUAAUACGUUGAAGACUGACGGUACCGGUUGAGGAAGCCACGGCUAACUCUGUGCCAGCAGCCGCGGUAAUACAGAGGUGGCAAGCGUUGUUCGGAAUUACUGGGCGUAAAGGGCGCGUAGGCGGCCUUCUAAGUCGGACGUGAA